UACGAAGGGGGCUAGCGUUGCUCGGAAUCACUGGGCGUAAAGCGCACGUAGGCGGAUUGUUAAGUCAGGGGUGAAAUCCUGGAGCUCAACUCCAGAACUGCCUUUGAUACUGGCGAUCUUGAGUCCGGGAGAGGUGAGUGGAACUGCGAGUGUAGAGGUGAAAUUCGUAGAUAUUCGCAAGAACACCAGUGGCGAAGGCGGCGCUCUGGACCGAGACUGACGCUGAGGCGCGAAAGCGUGGGGAGCAAACAGG
rnacentral:rRNA from 1 species